UACGGAGGGUGCAAGCGUUAUCCGGAUUCACUGGGCUUAAAGGGUGCGUAGGUGGGCUGGUAAGUCAGUGGUGAAAUCUCCAGGCUUAACCUGGGAACUGCAUCCGAUACUGGAUGGCUUGAAUCCGGGAGAGGGAUGCGGAAUUCCAGGUGUAGCGGUGAAAUGCGUAGAUAUCUGGAGGAACACCGGUGGCGAAGGCGGCAUCCUGGACCGGCAUUGACGCUGAGGAGCGAAAGCCAGGGGAGCAAACGGG
rnacentral:rRNA from 1 species